rnacentral:lncRNA from 1 species
GGCAAUGAACUAGUAUUAGGAUACACAAUAUUCUAUUAGAUGCAGACAUAGUAAUGCUAGGAGAAAAAAGUCCAAAGACAAAAUAGAAUUAUGAUUCCACUUGGUAAAGAUGAUUCUAAUGGCUAAGACAUUAUAAUUAACACAAUUACAAAAGAUGAGCCUCAACCUAUAAAAUCUGGAACAAGUGGAUGGAUUAGGUCAGCUCAAUCCAAUU